AUGAAUAUUAAUGCUUUUGGAUUUUCGUUUGCAGGAAUCCAACUUGUUGCCAAUAGCUUCAUUCCUCGUGAAUUCAAUACGAAACCCUGAAUAAAAUAAAAACAGAACGUUUCUUUUGAUUAAGAUAAAGUCCUAUAAUAAACAUGUAAAAUUUUAUACAAAAAGAUGUUGGUGUAAGUGUUAAUCAUACCUCUUCAUAUUUGAUGUCAGUUUCACUCGCCUGCAUAACAAACAUUAAGAAAACUAAUUACAGAUAAUAAGAUAAUCAAUUAAACAGAAAGAGCGAGAGAGAUAUACCAUGGAUGUUGAUGUUGAGGUACAAAUCUAAUAUUUCCUGUUUGAAUUGAGGAUAAUUGAUAACAAGAAAGAGAGGAGGAAUAGAGAAAAGAUGGGUUGUUUGGAUUGAAGAGAGUCUUUAUGUGAGUAAGUGAAGUGAGGGAGAGAUUAUUGCAUGAAAAUUAGGGAUAACAUUAACAUGG
rnacentral:lncRNA from 1 species